CGGCGUAAAGAGUGGUUAUGGAAAUACUAUACUAAAGCAGAAAGCCCCUUUAACUGUCAUACGCACCCGGGGGCCAGAACCCCGCUAUACGAAAGUAGCUUUAUUAACGCCUACCAGAAUCCACGAUAGCUAGGACACAAACUGGGAUUAGAUACCCCACUAUGCCUAGCCAUAAACCUAGAUGCCUCUAUACAAUUAGCAUCCGCCCGGGAACUACGAGCACCAGCUUAAAACCCAAAGGACUUGGCGGUGCCUCAGACCCCCCUAGAGGAGCCUGUUCUAGAACCGAUAACCCCCGUUAAACCUCACCACCUCUUGCCCCUUCCGCCUAUAUACCACCGUCGCCAGCUUACCCUGUGAAGGGAAAAGAGUAAGCAGAAUGGGAACUUCCCAAAACGUCAGGUCGAGGUGUAGCACACGAAGUGGGAAGAAAUGGGCUACAUUGCCUGAUGCAGGCUAUUUACGGAAAGUCACCUGAAAUAGUAACUCGAAGGUGGAUUUAGCAGUAAAAAAGGAAUAGAGAGCCUUUUUGAAGCCGGCUCUGAGGCGCGCACACACCGCCCGUCACUCUCCCCAACAAAUCAUACCGCCCAAGUAAAUAACACCACACAAGCCAAGCAAGGGGAGGCAAGUCGUAACAUGGUAAGUG
rnacentral:rRNA from 1 species